AGCUUAUUAGUUUAAUUUAGAAUAACUGGUUGUGACCCAGAGGGUGAAUUAGCUU
rnacentral:tRNA from 1 species